UACGUAGGGGGCAAGCGUUGUCCGGAAUCAUUGGGCGUAAAGGGCGCGUAGGCGGGCUGUCCAGUCUGGGGUGAAAUCCCGCGGCUCAACCGUGGAACUGCCUCAGAUACUGACGGCCUCGAGGGAGAUAGGGGCAUGCGGAACUGUAGGUGGAGCGGUGAAAUGCGUUGAUAUCUACAGGAACUCCGGUGGCGAAGGCGGCGUGCUGGAUCUCUUCUGACGCUGAGGCGCGAAAGCUAGGGGAGCAAACGGG
rnacentral:rRNA from 1 species